rnacentral:lncRNA from 1 species
AAUAUGAGAGGAUAAGCUACAAGUUUUGUGUUGAAGUCAGAAGCCAAUUCGGAGUUCUGGAGAGUCAAACAUUGUGUUUUCAUGCGAGACUUAAGAAAUAAUUAGUUUUUGGCUGAUUUUUAUGUUUUUUGGGUCGGUUUCUAUUAGGGCACAUUUUCUCUUGUAUUAUUUAAACAAAUUCGAAGCAUUAGGUUAAGCGUUAAGUUUUCACAAAAUAAGAAAAUACAACUAUGAAUUCAAUGGAGAACUAAUAACCUA